rnacentral:rRNA from 1 species
UGGGGAAUCUUGCACAAUGGGGGCAACCCUGAUGCAGCGACGCCGCGUGAGCGAUGAAGCCCUUCGGGGCGUAAAGCUCUUUCGACCGGAACGAUAAUGACGGUACCGGGAGAAGAAGCUGCGGCUAACUACGUGCCAGCAGCCGCGGUAAUACGUAGGCAGCAAGCGUUGUUCGGAGUUACUGGGCGUAAAGAGUGCGUAGGCGGUUUUCUAAGUUUGGGGUGAAAUCUCCCGGCUUAACUGGGAGGGUGCGCCGAAGACUGGGAAGCUGGAGUGUGGGAAAGGCAGGCGGAAUUCCUGGUGUAGCGGUGAAAUGCGUAGAUAUCAGGAGGAACACCGGCGGUGUAGACGGCUUGCUAGACCAUAACUGACGCUGAGGCACGAAAGCGUGGGUAGCAAACA